rnacentral:misc_RNA from 1 species
CGUUAACAGUUCUUGAUUCUCACCCAAGUCGUGCCUUACGCAUGCGUUUGCCUUUAUUUGCUUGAUUCGUUCGUAGUUGAACUGAGUACAGAGACGCAUUCGGAGCGAGAUGGCUAAAAGAUCGCCUUAUCGUGCGUCCAAAAUCGAAAGCCGGUGGAUUUCACAGUGAGAAAACCCCCUUGUUUCAAGACCACUGGUGAUUUGACUAUGAAUCCAGGCAGACUUCGCGGUUAUCUAUCGACGAAAUCUGCCCUUUUGAUAAAGGAAGGCUUUACUAUGGGUAGAUUAUGACCUUUAAAAAUCAAAAAUCGUUUCUUGCAUGAGGGAAAAUGACUGAUCUUAAAGUCUGGGUGGAUGGUGUACCGCGAGUUGUGCGUGGAGCACACGAGGAUACUACAUGUGAAAAUAUUUUGUUCGCUCUAGCGAGCGCCACGGGUAAGCUUGGAAGAUUUGCCUUGGUCGAAAAAUGGCGAGAUCUCGAAAGGAUUUUGCCGCGAGAGGCGAAACCGCUCAAGUGCUUGCAGAUGUGGGGAAAGCAAGCGGGCGAAGUCAAGUUUAUUUUGAAGUUAAUGAAAGACAAAUCAAAAACGAAGGAGAGCAAAGUAGGUACCGAAGAACACUCCGAGGAUGAAGAGAACUUAACGAGUGACCCUUUUCAUCGCUCUUUCGAACGGAAGACUUUGGAGAGAGUCGUCGCUAAUCAGACGAAUAAGUUGAAACGUCUCACGCGUGACCUGGAAAUCAUACAGUUGCGAAUUGACAGUUGUGUCGACAACGAAGAAGAUUAUCUUUACUUCACCGAAGAGGAAAUCACCGAGGAUCGUAUCACUAAACUCGGACAGGUUCUGAAAUUGCAAGCCAAGGAAUUAUCCGUGGAAGGAAUUUGUGCAAACGAACUCGCGAAAGAACGAACACGGGAGGAAAAACUCCAGUUCGAACUUGAAGAUCACCGAAAUAAACUUCACCAUCUAGAUGUUCACAUCUCCGAUUUAGAAAGCGUCGGUACCAAAAUUUAUUCCAUGCGAGCUCCUCAGGACAGGAACAUUGACAAUGGUUCACAGCGAAUCGGCGUGAGUGAUCUGGAAGAACUUGCUCAAGAAAUAUCGAUAACAAGAGAAGAGCUGUCAAAGCAAAGAGAACUCGCUGAUCGACAGAGCGAGGAAGUUGAAAACAUUAAAAAGUCGUUCUCGGAAUUAGAACGGAUCGCGCGCCAAAAAACUGUACAACUCGACUCGCUGAAAGGUGAUUCAUCGUCAGAAAUUCGCUUAUCUUAUUACGAUUUAGACAAAAAUCUACAAUUAGACACCGCGAAGGACAUUCCGUUAAAUGGCGUGGAUGAUAUGCUUUUAUCGCCUGAUGAAAGCAAAUUAACUGGUUCUGUGGCUUCUCAAACACCAUCCCGAAAUGGGACACAAAAAGAUGAUUCGUCACAUGGAGCUGUUUCUUCUCAUAAAUCUCCUGUCCGACAGAGAAUUGGGGCAUUUGAUAGCCCUGAUGAUCCGGGAGUUUUUGUCUAAGAAAAACGUGAUGAAGGAGUGUUUCCAUGCCAGAAUGAGGUGAGACACUUUGGACAAGCCAAGUGAAAUGAAUUUAAACAAAGUUUUUCUGUCUCAGAAUCCUUCAAGGCUGCUAAAUAUUAUCCAUCCAAGUAUGUGACUGUGGAUUAAACCUUAUAUUUAAAGUGUGGAAGGUUUCAGAUUUGGAGGAAGGAAAAUAACCAAUCCAGUCUUUUGACAUAUUUUUGACAGAACUUAGUUUGAGUUUGGAUGAACAAGCAAGGAUGAUAAUGAGUUUGCUGCUCUUGAAGAUGUGUUUAAUGCAAAUCAUAUUGCCUAAAAGGUAUUGUUUGUUGCAAUAUGAAAUGAUUUCACAUGAUUGUGAUAUAGUGGUGGGGGAAAUGUGUAUGUGUUGAAGCAACAAAUGACAAAUUUAGAGAAAUUUACAGAAACUAGGAAAUGGUUGAAGGAACUCUAAGCAUUGUUAUUGCGUUAAAAGAAAUAUAUCUGCAGUUUUAAUUUGAUAAAGGUUAAAGUAAUAUCAUGAACGAGAGAAUUAAUUAUUAUAUUAUGAUUCCUUUUAAAAGUUGUAAGAGGGAGAAACAUUUUUUUUGUCAAUAAGAUUUAUUUAAAUUUAUUUAUGAGAGGAAGUUGAGUGAAUUUUAUAAUAAAUUAUUACCUCAAAUCAGUCAUUUAAAAAUUUGCCAUAAUUAUAGCUUAUCUUGAUACUCAUUGUGUGAGCUUUUGUUAACUGAAUUUAAAUUUCUGAAAUAAAGAAAUAUGUUUAUCUAAAUUUUAUAAAUAUAUUUAGACUGUAGAAAGUGUUAAUCAUGUAUGGAUUGAUGGAAUGGGGUACCCAACAGUCCGGUGCCUGGAGUGAUAUUAUCUAAUGAAAUGUAGCAAUCAUGGAGCAUAUUGCCAGCUUCCAUUGGUGAUGAUGGCCAGAACUAUUUGUUCUUUGCAUCUCUUGCCUAUAACUAGUUCCAAUACCCAGCUCUUCUCUCUAUCACCAAGGGAAAUCUGCAAAGUGUCUGGAAAGUACUUCACUGGGUUAAAAGAAAGGAAAAAGAACUGAAUAAUACUACAUAAAUGAUAAAGAAACAGAAGAAAUCAUGCAUUUUUUCUGAAAUAAUAAAGUGGUGCUCCUCAUUGAA